rnacentral:rRNA from 1 species
UACAGAGGUCCCAAGCGUUGUUCGGAUUCAUUGGGCGUAAAGGGUGCGUAGGUGGCGGGGCAAGUUUGGUGUGAAAUCCCGGGGCUCAACCCUGGAACUGCACUGAAUACUGCUUUGCUAGAGUACUGGAGAGGGAACUGGAAUUUACGGUGUAGCAGUGAAAUGCGUAGAUAUCGUAAGGAAGACCAGUGGCGAAGGCGAGUUCCUGGACAGUUACUGACACUGAGGCACGAAGGCCAGGGGAGCAAACGGG